CUUUUUAGUUUAUAAUUUGUGGCUCUGAAUAAGUCAGUGGGAGACUUUCCAGUGGAGUAAGCCGGCCUACACUAAACGCAUGGUGUGAAACCCAGACAAAGGAAUACUGUCACCAGGCAACUGGACUCGGUUGGACUCCAUGUUCUUGGGCGUGACAGGUGUGCCACACUAUCUAGAUGUGUGGUCCGACACCAGUCGACUGUAACCCGGAGCACUUUUGAGACAAGACCAGCAUAAGUCAUCGGACUGAAUAAAUCCAGAUGUCCUCUGUUCUCUGAUGAGCGCCUUACCUGGUCAGCCCACAGCUUAGGAGAAGGAGAUGGAGGUGUCUGAGGGAGAGAGAACCCAGCCCCCGGGCUCACACUGUACCGCCAGCUCUUUGUGGUACGCCAACACACUUCCUGUGAUUGUACCUAAACACCUGAGCUGGGAAGUUUAUAAAACAUAGAAAGCUAUUUAUCUCUGAGGAUGUGCAAGUUCAAGGACAUGGCACUGGCCGUCUGCAUGGCUUCUGGCACAGUACUUGGUGCUGCUUCAAGGAAUGCCCGAGAGCACAGGGUAAGUGGUGCUUAUACAAGACACACACACACACACACACACACACACACACACGAGCAUGCACUCACGAUGAACCAAGCCCUACAGAGCUUGCACGGGAGCAUCACCAACCUCCAAAUGACCAAGUACAUGUCAUGGGGAACCGAGCCUCCAGGACAGCCUUUCAGGGGAGACUCUUUACCCAAACGGUAAAGCAGGACCACGCCUCAAUAAGUCCUGGAGAACAAUCACAUUCAAAGCUCAGGACCUGGAGGCCCUGCCUGCUGAGCUGCCCUACCAGUGGGGGCUUUGUCAUGGGCUACCUUCAUUGUCAACCUGACUGGAUUUGGAAUCAUCUAGAAUACACACCUCUGAAGGGAAGAGCCACCCGGAAUGUGGGAGGCACCAUCUUCAUGCUAAAAUUGAAGGAAGCAUGCCGAGCCAACGUUCAUCCUCUCCCUGCUUCUGGACUGAAUGCGACCCAAUCACUUCAUGUUCUUGCUGCCAUGGUGGUCCAUGGAUCAAAUCCUGAGCCAGAAUAAAUCCCUUUCCCC
ensembl:antisense 5830468F06Rik RIKEN cDNA 5830468F06 gene